UCGUCGCCAGGUUCCUUCAAUCCCCUUGGCCCUCUUUCCUGUUACUCAAAUUUGAAAUGGUAUGAAAAAGAAACUUGGGGUAAAGAGAACUGCUUCCUUUCCGUUCACCCGACUGUCUUCCAGCUGGGAGGAGCUGGAUUUCACUGCUCAGUCCCUGGUUCCUCUGGUGACUCCAGCAUCAGCUUGUACCUGGCUUUCCCGUCACGCGCGAUGGGUUCUUAGAAAACUGCCAGUCAGGCGAGGGGGACAGUGUUGCCUCCCUUCAGGGAGAAGGGAGUAGCUUCUAAGCGGAGAAGCUGGAACGAAACUCAAUGGGACUGAUUCCAAAUUCCUUCCUUUUCCCACCAAAUUCCAAGAGUCAUUGAUGACAAAUUUCUCUCUUCAUUUCACAGAGGAAAUGAUAGGAAAGAAUAUAUGUUUUCCAACUGACACCUGGAGUGAUUUGUUUUAAGCACUUGAAUUUUGUGUUUGAUUUAUUUUAGCCACAGAAUUCCUUCCUCAUACAUGGAGUUGACUGCUUUUUAUUCUUAAAGUCUUUUAUUUGCACUCCGCUUUCAUCGCUUUAACGCUCAUUUGCUACUUUAAUAUUCUAUCAAUUUAAUGCUCACCCACAUUCCUCCAUCCAGGUUCCCUCUGAAUUUUAUAAAACCAUUAUGCUGUUUCUUGACAAAUUGAGCUUCAUAGAUGAAUUGCAGAGUAACCUGGGAUAUUAGUUCUAAUGAGUGUUUCAUAGCUCUCAUGUUUGCAUGAAGAGAGUGAUCAUGCCAUUUUAACCUGAAACUUUUCAUUAUUCUGAAAACUCAUAGUUAUAUUUUUUAUUCUUGUCUGAAUUGAAUAGGUCAAUGUAUUUUUUCUAACCUGAGGAAGGGAAAAUGGAACGAGGAAUGAAAUUUAAUGAAAUCUCAGGAUGCCCAAGAUCACUAAGGCUAUGUAACAUUGUUGUAUGCAGAAGUCUGCUGGAAUCCCAACCUGAGCUGGUCUUGGGCUUGAUACCCUAUCUCGUUCUGCAUGUAGCCACCACAAGGUAAGCAGAAACAUUCAGAGCAAAAGCUUCUUUUAGCAUGCACUCCCUUGUUGGGGUUCCUCUUCUCACUUUGGUUAUGAAAUCUAUUGAUUUUAUUAUUUCAUUCCAACUCAGUAAGAUGUUCACAUUUUUAAUAAUGUUUUACUUGUUUCAGAUUGUUCAGAGUAUCUAAUCAAACAUGCUGCCAGAAAUGGAAGUUCUUUUUACAUUAUUUAACUUUAAAAAAAUAUUUUCUAUAAAUGUCUUUUAAGUUUCCUCAGCUCUUUAGUUUUAGAAACAGAAAGGGGAAAAUUAUGAAUUAGUUAAAUAAGUAAUGAUUCAAGAUCAGAUUCUAUCUGUUAUAAAUAGUGAUGUUAGAGAAAAAUUAAAGAAUACAAUAUAGCCACUUAUAAAAUAAGAGAACAUGUCUUUAAAAUAUAUUUAGAAUAAGGAUUUUGUAUUAGGAAAUUGAACUGUUAUUUUUGUUGUUAUUAUUUAAUUUUACUGAAAUGACUUCCAUGAACUGAGAAUUACUUUCUGUAUAUCUCUUGAGUGUCAUGUAUUCUGGUUACCCUAUAAACAAUGUUAGUAUGAGGUUGGCAGAAUAAAACUGAGCUAGAAAUACAUGAGCAAAUGCUUCAAACAAAUGUUAAUAAAUAAACAUUCUGUCAUUACCAUGAGACUGCAGCACCUGUUUUAGAGAGAUACCAAUGUUUUAUCCAUUUUAGUGUUAGCCUUCAAUGAUCAUGUGGAACAACAUGGAGGUUGAAGAAAAAUGACUCUCAGUAUCCUCAUUACUUAGGUUUGUGCUGUAAGACCACUUAUCAUGUUGCCACUAUUAGGCCUUCUUUUUGUUUUUAGUAUAAAGCAUUUUAGCAUUGUUGCUGCUGCUGUUGAAUAUAUGUUGUAAUACCUGUCAUAAAACAUUAUUCUAGGACACAUCUAAGGAACAUGAGAUUGCCACAUACAGUAGAAAAUAACAACAACAAUUUUCUCUUUUCCUUUUCCCAGGCUAAGAUUAUAAAACUCUUAGACAUGUCUCAGAUGCUUACACAGGAAACCUAGUUCAUAGUGUCCUCACAUGGACAUUUAUUCUUCAUAUGCUUGCAUUUUAAAGUGCAAUGAUUCUGUAUAAGCCUUGUUAGAAAACAACAUUUGAUAAUUUAAGGGAGUUAUUUUCUCUAAAGGGAGAUUUACAUGAUUUUGUUGGAACAUUUCAGAAUGUUACCUGAAAAGCAUGCCUAUCUUCAGUCUGCAGCGACCUCAACAUCCAGAAACUCAACUCUGAAAGUUUGUAAAUUGCUUUGUAAAGGGGGCAUCAGUCUCAUUAUCACAGACUUGUGUUAAAAUUCAGUAUGCAGUCCUAUUUCUGAACUGACUGGGAGAACUUCCUCGGCUUGACAUAAAUCCUCAGAUGAUAGAGACUAAUCAUUGCAAAAAGAAACCACAUUUCCUUUAUUUCUCUUUUCAUGAUUAAAUGUUUCAGUUGCUUUUUCUCAUUUUAAGUAAGUAUAAGUCACUUGCCCAUUGAUAGCUGAAUUAAGUUUGUAAACCAUGAAGGAAAGGAAAAUGUUCAUUCAUCUUACUUAAUCUUCCUUUUCAUUCCAGUAGUGA